AAGAAGUUUCCCAAGCAUGUGCCGUGCUUUGAGAGAAGGGGAGCUAAAAUCAGGUGGUGGGAUUAGCAGGUAGGAAAAAGUCAGUUUCUCUCUCCCUUUGGUUCAGUCCAUUGACUAUGUUUCCCCGCCCCUCUUCUCCUACACACCCCUGCCCCUGGUGGUGGAGAGGUUGGAUAGUGACAUUCUAGUGCUGGGACUCCUCUUGCCUCAGCCAAAUCUCCUGAACUUUUGUUUUGAAACUAUUUGAAGUCUAAAGCUUUGCUGUUUUGUUUUUUUCCCUCCUAGUCUUUCAUUGUCAUUUCACUUUCUCUCCCUCUCCUCUUUUUCAAAUUGCAGAUCUGACAGUUUAUUGAACUAAAUGAGAAAUCUUGUCAAGGUAAACUCCAUAGCACUCUUAUUUUUAAUCUCUUCCAUGGCUAAAAUCUCUGCUGUGAUGAUAGCAUAGAGGCAGAUACAAGGCAGUGCAUCCAGUCCCCAGGCUUGGUGUGUUGGUCAUUCAUGCUCCACUGGCUUCCCAAGCAGCUGGGUUGUCUCUGCACUCUGGUGCUGGCUGAGCAGGGCUGCACGGUGAGCAAGAGAUGGACCGCUUUCUGGGUUUUGUCAAGCAGAUCCGAAGAUCUAGGAGAAGAAAGGGCAAAAAGUACCGACCAGAAGAGGAUUACCACGAGGGCUAUGAGGAUGUCUAUUAUUAUGCUUCGGAGCAUUUUCGAAGUAAG
rnacentral:lncRNA from 1 species